rnacentral:misc_RNA from 1 species
GUCUGCGGAAGGAUCAUUAAAGAGUAAGGGUGCUCAGCGCCCGACCUCCAACCCUUUGUUGUUAAAACUACCUUGUUGCUUUGGCGGGACCGCUCGGUCUCGAGCCGCUGGGGAUUCGUCCCAGGCGAGCGCCCGCCAGAGUUAAACCAAACUCUUGUUAUUUAACCGGUCGUCUGAGUUAAAAUUUUGAAUAAAUCAAAACUUUCAACAACGGAUCUCUUGGUUCUCGCAUCGAUGAAGAACGCAGCGAAAUGCGAUAAGUAAUGUGAAUUGCAGAAUUCAGUGAAUCAUCGAAUCUUUGAACGCACAUUGCGCCCCUUGGUAUUCCGAGGGGCAUGCCUGUUCGAGCGUCAUUACACCACUCAAGCUAUGCUUGGUAUUGGGCGUCGUCCUUAGUUGGGCGCGCCUUAAAGACCUCGGCGAGGCCACUCCGGCUUUAGGCGUAGUAGAAUUUAUUCGAACGUCUGUCAAAGGAGAGGAACUCUGCCGACUGAAACCUUUAUUUUUCUAGGUUGACCUCGGAUCAGGUAGGGAUACCCGCUGAACUUAA